UACGUAGGGUGCAAGCGUUGUCCGGAAUUAUUGGGCGUAAAGAGCUCGUAGGCGGUCUGUCACGUCGGCUGUGAAAACCCGGGGCUCAACCCCGGGCCUGCAGUCGAUACGGGCAGACUAGAGUGCGGUAGGGGAGACUGGAAUUCCUGGUGUAGCGGUGAAAUGCGCAGAUAUCAGGAGGAACACCGGUGGCGAAGGCGGGUCUCUGGGCCGUAACUGACGCUGAGGAGCGAAAGCGUGGGGAGCGAUCAGG
rnacentral:rRNA from 1 species